rnacentral:lncRNA from 1 species
UUCUGCUGUGUCAUGCAAGAAGGAGGCGGCAGCGGCGGCCGGAGCUGGAGGGGGAGGAGGGGAGGAACCUGAUCCUCUGGUAGCGAAGGGCUGGAGGCAAACACCGACCUCCCCUAGAGCCGCCCGGGAGUAGGGAGGGCUCCGCUACCCCGAGGGGCCCUCCCCGCGGGGCAGAGGAAUUUAAUGUCCAGAUUCUGAACAGUGCCUUGAGGUCACCCAUGCCACCCUGCAGACUCUCCAGAGACUAUUGGACUCAUAAGCUAUUGGAUUCAUACCUGAAACCAUGGGGAUUGGAAUAAGCUGGAAUUCCAGGAAGGAAACUCUUUCAACUCCUGAGACCAAGCCCACCCACCAACCCUCACUACAG